UUGCAGGCUGCAACCCGCCUGUAUGAAGUUGGAAUCGCUAGUAAUCGCGGAUCAGCAUGCCGCGGUGAAUACGUUCCCGGGCCUUGUACACACCGCCCGUCACACCAUGAGAGUCGGGAACACCCGAAGUCCGUAGCCUAACCGCAAGGAGGGCGCGGCCGAAGGUGGGUUCGAUAAUUGGGGUGAAGUCGUAACAAGGUAGC
rnacentral:rRNA from 1 species